rnacentral:lncRNA from 1 species
UUAUAUAGCCGAUAUCAGCACCUACAAUAUCUUGAUCAAUGCAUAUGGACGAUCAGGAUUUAUCGAAAAAAUGAAAGAGAUUUUCCAAUCACUUCCUGCUAAGAACUUGAAGCCAGAUGUGGUAACUUGGACUUUCAGACUUGGAGCAUACUCUAAAAAGAAACAGUACCAAAAAUGCUUAGAAAUAUUUGAGGAAAUGAUCGAUGAAGGUCGUUAUCCAGAUGGUGGAACAACAAAAGUGCUCCUUUCGUCUUGUUCGCGUGAAGAUCAGAUUGAACAAGUUACAACUGUAAUUAGAUCAAUGCACAAGAAUGUGAAGACAAUAUAGUUGGUUUGAAAUGGCUCAUUUAAUUUCCAGCAAUAUGUACUCCCCAACACUGUGUUGAAGUAUGUUAAGUUUCAAUCAAUUGAAACUAAACCGAUAACCGCCCGAUAAUAGCUAAACCGAUACCAAUCCGUCUGAUAUCUUAUCGGGUGGCUAGCAGAUUAAUACAUUAAAAAACAGAUAACCGAUAAGCCAAACCGUUAAGAGUAAAUAAUCGCUCGAUCCGCCCGUUAAGCAACCCUAAUCUGAAGUGCAAUUUUUUCACUUCAGACUAAAAAAAUUUUAACUUCAGACCCGAUAAGUCUGAAGUUGAUUGUAAAGUAGGUAGGCUUGUAAAUAUUUUUGUAAAGUGGGUAUAGGUUCAAUUGUGACCACAAAACUGGGUAUAAAUGCAAAAGUCCCAUUUUUAUGGCUGCUAUUUAAGGAUUGACCAAUACUUAUUUUGUCCCGAAAUUUUUAAUUAUAAGUCGUAAUUUCUGUAAAAUUUAGGACAUUUGUGUUUCAAAAAAUUAAACUGAAAAACUAAAAUUUAUGAUACAUUGGCUAAUUGCUAAAUAGCAGUCAUUUAGAGUAGCUAUCUUGUGUCAUUUCUACAUUAAUUGUUACAUUUGGGCUUCUUUUUAGCUUCUUAACAUUUGUUGUAUAGUGAAUUCUUUGCACAGAUAGACGGACGGAUUUAUUAUUUAUUCUUUUUAGCUGGUAUACAAAAAGUAUACCUGAAUUAUAUACAUAUAUUAUGUCUCGUCGACUAAUUUUAAUUUAAGCGAUUGAGUAAGCAUUAAUUAGUUAAAAUGGGUGUCUUAAAGUAAUUGUCCAUAUCACCGCUUUAAAUUAAAAAUGCCAACCACUAACUUCUUGCUCGUGCUAAAAAUGAAAUUGACAUCUUCAUAUAUCUUCCUUUUGCUAAGGUUUCAAAACAGAUCGCAAAUAUCUGUAUGUAUUAUUUUUGCAAACUAAUGAAUAUUUUGUUACUUGAUUUGAUUUUUUACACAACGAAAACAACCAUAAAUGCUUUUAAAUUCGCACUUUAAGCCAGGACAAAAUAAAAAAUGAAUCGUUCCUCUUAUUUAUUGGCAAAAGUGUUGGUUAGAACUUACAAAUAGGUUUUAGAUAUGAUAUUACAAAAGAAAUUGCGACACUUUUCAUUAAAUGUUCCUCAAAUAAUUUUGGAUUUAGGCAAGGAAAUCAUUUUCUUUUCUUAUUUCCUCCUCUUUUUCCCCGUCCCUUACAGCUUGUUUGGAUGGUUGAUACAUAUUGUUUCAUAAUGUAUCGUAUUAUAUUAUAUUAUAUUAUAUUGUACUGUAUCGUUUGAUGAAUAUAAUAUAUGGAUAGAUUGUAUUGUUUGCCGUCAUUUUAUAAUAUCACGCACUAGCAAUAUGAAGAAUAAACUUGCUAUAUUAAAAAGAAAAAUUAUGGUAUGGGAUAGAAUUAUUAUAUAAAAAGAUAGGGUAAAGGGAUAAAAUAAAAUUAUUGAAUAGAAAUGAAGGGAUAGAUGAGAGAAAAAGACAAGGUAACGACGCGACCACACCAAAUCGGUUGUUACAUAAAGUGGUGUCACACCUCCUUUUACCCGAGGGAUGAGACAUAAGAGUUUUUCCAAUUAAAGUGACAUUAUUCGAAAUGAGAUUAUUUAUUUAAUGAGAGUCACCACUUGGGAUAAUUAUUAUGGUGUCCCAAAUCACCGGUUUAUUUUAAAAUCCCAAAUUGAGGAAAUUGAUUCUAUUUGUGGUCCGCGAACACAGAAGACCGAAAAAGGAAUUCUGUUAACCUGGGAGAAGGUAUGAGGCACUCCCGAGUUCCGUGAUUUUAGCACGGUCGCUUAACUAUUAAUAAUUGGCCUAAUUAUCUGAUUUAUUACAUGUUUUAAACCUAUUGUGCAUUUUACCUUUGACCGCUUUUAAUUAUGUAUUUAAACUGCUUUUUAGUAUCUAUGGAGUUAUUUCUUGAACAAGUUACAAUGUCGUACACUUGUCGGCUGGGUACACAUUGCAAAUCGUGCCACGUAAAAUGCACCCGCGAUUCACAACAUGUUCAUUAUUAUUAUUUGAAGUUAUGGUCAAGUCGCAUGAAACGCACACUCGAGUUGAGAUUUAUGUAUCGUGACCAUGCCACGGGAACCGUACCCAUAGUCACGAUGAUUUAUUAUAAAUGCACCUAAAGCAAACUACGAGUGUUCAAGUAUUUCCUAAUAUUUUGAGAUUAUUGUGAGGCUGAUGAGUUAUGGAAUAAAUUUGUGGAGAAGGGGUGCAUGAUUGUGAUGUUAUUGGGCUUCACAGGAUUUAAUUUUUGGCCCAAAUUAAUUCUAACAAAUACUUUAAGCUUUAAAGUCCGACAUUUUCCAUUUUUAAAAGAGAUUUUACACAAAUAGUCGAUCAUAUUCAUUAUUUACUUUUUCUAGCCAUCUACAUACAUUAUACAUUGAUUAUACAUAUUUAUACACAUAUAAUACACAAAUUAUGCAUAUAUUAUACAUUCACUGACUAUUUUUAGUUUAAGUAAUUUAGUGGGCGGUUAUUUGGGUUAAUUAUUCUUUUUAAAAUCACUACUCUAUGACCCGUCAGUUUUCAUUUACGGCCCAUUAAAUAUCUAAGAAAAUUUAAACUAAAAGAAAAUCUCUUUCCAUGUAAAACAAUUCAGCCCGACUCUAUUGCCGAUGACUCAUUUUCAAUUCAUUUUAAAUCAAACCCCGUAGCUCAUUGACCAAAUAUUUGCAGAAAUGAAAUAAGUUAAAUGGAGUAAAACUUAGCAUAAAGCAGAGCAAGAGAUCGACGAGGCAUAACCCAAGCGCAAUUAAACCAACCUUCCAAACUCCCUAAGCUAAAUUAACUAAUUCAAUAACUUGUAUUAGAUGAUUAUUUUAACGCGCUGCCACAAAAAUAAACAACAUAAGCAUAUCAGUCAGAAAAAAUCAAAAUUCAUGUCAUGACUAAUGAAAAUAAACUUAUCCAUUCAAGGUUUAAAAUGUACAUAAGGGAACAUCAAAAUUUAUCUAUUCAGUCCAGAGGGAGGGAGGCAAGAAAUAUCCCCAUAGAAAAGCUCAAAAUAUCAUCACAUACGCCAUAAGACAGAAAUAAGAGAAAUCAAACAAAUAAUACUAACAUUCAUGACACAAAAUUUGGAGAUCGGAAGAAGAACAAAGUUUAAAGUGUGACCUUUUAAAUGAACGGCAACUUCAAUAGAUUAACAUAUCGACCAGUAUUACAAUGAAGAAGACGACGUCCAAACUAGAACAUGAGCAAAACCUCUGAUCGGAACUGCGCCGAACUUGACAGCCUCAAACGGAACUCGUAACCCGACCGUCCUUACUGAAUCAGAGAUCAAUGGACACUUUUGAGAUUAGGGAGUUGGUUUCGUGGCUGUUUGAGCAGCUGCUUAUGAAGGUUUGGAAGCUGUUUUUUCGGUUGAUUUCGCUGGGAAACAUAACUGUUUUGGAGGUCGUUUUUGAGCAGCUUUUGUAUGACCUUUUUCGUGGCAUUUCAAGGAGCUUUUUAUAUGGUUUAAAUGGAAGAAAAUGAGUGAUUGAUGAUGGGGAAGAAGAGAGAAAGAGCUUUGUUUUUUGCUUCCCAGAUCCCUUUUUUCUUUUCUUUCUUUGCUUUUUUCCAGAUCUGUUUUUUUUCUUUGUGUGUUCUGUGAGUGGAAGAUAUAUAGGUGUAGGUAUAAGGAUUAAUUGGUGGCCAAGAAAAAGAGUGUGUAUGUGCAUGUGAGUUUUUGAGGGAGAGUAUGUGAGUUAGUGAUAAGUUAUAAGUGCCCUUAUUUUAUGUUUUGAUGAUCUAACAAACUUAAUGUCAAGAACGAGAUAAGGAACCUGAUCCACAUCUGGUCCACAUUCUCAAGCGCAUGGAAAUAACCAGACUUAAGCUGGAGAUGUUCGUCAGAAUUUCAGAAGUUAAAGAAUCAACAAGGGGAACAUAUGGACUUCAGUUUCCUUGGUGAUUGUACCAAGUCAACUCUCCAACAGCUGGAAAGUGACUGACUGCACACGCAACAGUACAUCAAAGUGCAUCAGUCACCUCCAUUGGGAAGGACCUUGUACCCAAGUUGCUUACAUCAUUCAAGUGAUGUAAUCAAUGUUAUAUUAAUAUUAAACCAAUGGCAAAACAUGUCUUGAACAUUUAGAGAAUUUACUCAAGCAAUCCAAUAGUGAUUGUUCUUCCAGUUAACGAUUCUCAAGUGCAUCAAGAACAAAGAACAAUACUGCUACGGACCAGUUUCCCAUAUCAAGUGAUUGUAUGUCCUUAGUUGAGUUGUAACUUUGUUAAUGUUCUUACUUGUAAUUCCUACUUAGCUUAAUUAGAACCAUUGUGUAUGAAACUCUUGUAAAUCAUAAAUCCCCGCGUUUGUGUCUUGGCUAGAGUUAGUCAAGUUGUAAAGUCUUUGUAAUAGAGGUAUUACAAAGUGUCUUGUAAUAGGUGUGUUAUAAGUUAUUGAGGGAUUAAAGAGUUAAUUCUGAGGUUAUAAUAGGUUGUAAUCUAAACGUUUUGCUCAGUAGUAAAGUUAAAAUCCUACAAGGGUAGGUCGUGAUUUUUGAUCCCGUUGAGAUAGAAAUUUUCCAUGUAAAAACUCUCCGUGUUAUUUACUUUCUGUUGUGUUUGCAUAAUCUGUGGAAACCGAUAGAGAACCUGGUUCUCUAUAGUAUUUGGUGGACCCUAGAAUUCUAUCAGUUGGUAUUAGAGCAGGUUCUUUCUAUCAGGCUAACACCUAGAAAGGAUCGUCAUGGUUGCUCCACCAAACUUUGAAGAAGGUCAGUCUACCUACAGGCCACCAAUGGCCAGUAUUAUGGAUGGUGGAAGACUAGGAUGCAUGACUUCAUCAUGGCUGAAGAUUCAGAGCUAUGGGAUGUUAUCUCUGACGGACCCUUUGUUCCCACUAAGAAUCUCGGUGACCCAGCUGUAGCCAUUCCCAAGACAAGGAAGGAAUUCAAUGACGUUGAUUGAAAGGCCAUAGAAAGAACUUUGUGCAAAGAAAAUUCUUGUUUAUGGCAUUGGUCCUGAUGAAUAUAACAGGAUAUCGGUAUGCCAAUUAGAAAAAGAAAUCUGGGAGGCUCUUCAGACAGCUCACGAAGGAACAACACAGGUUAAGCAAUCCAAGAUCGACAUGCUCACAACUGAAUACGAGCUCUUCAGGAUGAAAGAUGAUGAAUCCAUCCAAGAUAUGCAUACUCGCUUCACAUCCAUCAUUAAUGAGCGUCACUCCCUUGGUGAAACUAUUCUAAGAAACAACCUUGUCAGGAAAAUCCUUAGUGUACUGCCCAGUUCUUGGGAAAGCAAAGUGAACGACAUUAUAAAUGCGAAGGACUUGCAGACACUGACCAUAGAUGAACUUGUUGGCAAUCUGAAAACAUAUGAAAUGAAGAAGAAGAAGAAGGACAAUGAAAGAAGAGAACACGAAAGGGAGAAUAACCUGGUCCUCAAGACAUACAACAAUGAUUCAAGUGGUGAGGAUGGUGAUAUGGCUUACUUGACAGGAAGAUUCCAGAAGAUGGUUCGCAGGAAUUGAGGUAUUCCAAAAAGGGAAAGUUCUAGCAAGUCAAACAAUUAUGACCUAUGUCAUAAAUGUGGCAAGCCAGGACACUUCAUCAAGGAGUUCCCUCUCCUAAAGCAAGAUCAAUACAAAAACAACUUUGACAGAGCAGCCAAGAGGAACCUGGUUCUUGAUAAACGCUUCAAGAGAAAGAAUGUCGCUGCCAAUGUUGUAAAGCAAGCUCUUGCUGCAUGGGGAGACUCCUCCAGCAAAUCUGAAGAAGAAAAUGAUCAUGGUGAUAGUUCAAUGAUGGCAGUGGAAAGUGAAGCAACUGAGUAUGACUCAAUCUUUGCCUUGAUGGCUCAAUCUGAUGACGAUGGAGAUAAAGACGACGAUGAGGUAAAUUUUCUGGAUGUUCAGAGAAAUAUAAAAUCUUAUUCUCCUAAAAAACUCAUGUCUUUGGCAAAUAUGUUUUUUGAUGCUUAUCACAGUCUUAUAAAUGAUAAAGAUGCUUUAAAUGUGGAGUUAGGAGAAUCAGAACAAACUAGAGAUGACUUAGUAAUCGUUGUUGUUGAUUUAAAGGAAACAAUUGAGAACCUGAAGAAAGAGAAUUAUGCCUUAGAUGAAAAAAAUGCACAUAUAGAACAUGAUAGAGAUGAUCUAAUAGUCGUUGUGGUAGACCUAAAAGAGACCUUUGAGUGUGUAAGAAAGGAAAAAGAAGUCUUAGUUGAGAGAGUUACUNNNNNNNNNNNNNNNNNNNNNNNNNNNNNNNNNNNNNNNNNNNNNNNNNNNNNNNNNNNNNNNNNNAAGCAUAUGACUGAAAGUACAAAUGACUUCCUUUCACUUAAGGCCCUGCAAGGAGGGAGUGUAUCCUUUGGAAAUGACAAGAAAGGAUACAUUCUGGGAGUUGGAAGGAUUGGGAAGUCUCUCUCACACACAAUCGAAAAUGUGUACUACGUGAACGGGUUGAAGUAUAGCUUGCUAAGUGUUUCCCAGAUCUGUGAUAAGGGAAACAAGGUGGAAUUUGUGUCAAAAAUAUGUACAGUCACAAAUCUAGUGACUGGUGAGGUGGUGCUAGUGGCAAGAAGAUACAAAAAUAUCUAUGUUGCGGAUUUCGAGUCCCUGCAGAAUGGUGAUCUCAAUUGUCUAAGUGCUGUUGAUGAUGAUGCUGAAUUAUGGCAUAGGAGGCUGGGUCAUACAAGCUUCAUGUUGCUGAACAAAUUGGUCCGGAAGGACCUGGUUCGUGGUCUGCCCAAGUUAAGCUUUAAGGAUCACAAAGUGUGUGAUGCAUGUGUAAAAGGCAAACAAGUCAGAUCCUCAUUCAAGCCCAAAAAGGAAGCCAGUACCUCAAGGCCACUUGAUCUUCUUCACAUGGAUCUAUGUGGACCUAUGAGGGUGCCAAGCAGAGAAGGAAGGAAGUACAUCUUUGUGAUAGUUGAUGACUACUCCAAAUUCACCUGGACCUUGUUUCUCAGAACCAAGGAUGAAACUUUUGAAGUGUUCGUUGCUUUUGUCAAAAAGAUCCAAGUGAAUAUGGGUAAUAAGGUAGCCUGCAUCAGUUCUGAUCAUAGGACAGAGUUUGACAAUGCCAAAUUUGAUGAGUUCUGUAUUGAAAAUGGUAUCACUCACAAUUUCUCAGCUCCAAGAACACCUCAACAAAAUAGUGUUGUGGAAAGGAAGAAUAUAACUCUUGAAGACAUGGCAAGGACAAUGUUGAUUGACAGUGGGAUUACAAAGAAUUUCUGGGCAGAAGCUGUCAACACUGCUUGCUACUUGGUGAACAGGUGCAUGAUCAGGUCCCUUCUGAACAAGACUCCAUAUGAACUAUUGAAUGGAAGGAAGCCCAUGCUGACACAUCUAAGGACUUUUGGGUGUAAAUGCUUUGUUCUCAACAAUGGAAAGGAAGCCCUUGGAAAAUUCGAUGCCAAAAGUGAUGAAGGAAUCUUUCUGGGAUACUCAUCUCAAAGCAAAGCUUACAAAGUAUACAACAAAAGGACUCAAUGUGUUGAGAAAAUUAUACAUAUGUUCUUUGAUGAAUCGCACCUCUCAUGUGAGAAAGACUAACCCGCUAAUCAAGAUGGAGAACCUUUAUCUAUUCUAGGAGAAGUUAUUGGCAUGGCAAAUGGAAAAGCAGACAUGAUAAGUCAUGUAAAGGAAUCCAGUGAAGAUGAUGCGAGUACACCUCCAUCUAUUGGAGAGGAACCUGGUCCCCUGAUCACACCAACUGAAGCUGAAAAUAGAGUUGUUGAUGCAGUCCAAGGUACUCCACUUGCUGAAGUAAGAAGCGCCCAAGAACUUCGGUCAGACAUACCUGGGUCCUCUGCCAAUGAGAUUCAGGCACCAAAUUGGAAGCACAAAAUCUCACAUCCUCUUGAUAGCAUAAUCACCCCUCUUGACUCAGGAAUUCAAACCAGAUCAAAAGCAAGAAACUCACUUGCCUUUUCAGCCUUUCUUUCCUAAAUAGAGCUAAAACAUAUCAAGGAAGCAUUGAAAGAUGCAGACUGGAUCACAGCCAUACAAGAGGAGCUGCAUCAAUUUGAAAGAAACAAGGUAUGGCACCUGGUUCCUCAACCUGCAGAUCGAACUAUCAUAGGGACCAGGUAGGUAUUCAGGAACAAACUUGAUGAGUUUGGAAAUACAACAAGAAACAAGGCAAGGCUUGUAGUUCAAGGCUACAAUCAGGAAGAAGGGAUUGAUUAUGAUGAAACAUUUUCUCCAGUUGCUCGAAUGGAAGCUAUUAGGAUUCUUAUUGCCUUUGCAUAUCAUAUGGAGUUCACAUUGUUCCAAAUGGAUGUCAAAAGUGCAUUUCUAAAUGGCUACCUGAAAGAAGAAGUUUAUGUCAAGCAGCCUCCUGGAUUUCAGUGUUACGAGCAUCCUGAGCAUGUAUUCAAGCUAGACAAGGCAUUGUAUGGGCUAAAAAAGGCUCCCCGGGCUUGGUAUGAAAUGUUAUCAAAGUUUCUUCUAGAAAAUGGCUUUACAAGAAGGAAAAUUGACAACAUUCUUUUUAUGAAGAAACGAGGGAGAAACCUGCUCAUUAUUCAGGUAUAUGUUGAUGAUAUCAUUUUUGGAGCCACAACUGACUCUCUUUGUGAAGAAUUUGCAAAACUCAUGUGGAGUGAGUUUGAGAUGAGUAUGAUGGGAGAAUUAAAUUUCUUCCUGGGACUUCAAGUGAAGCAAUCUCAAAAGAGAACAAUGAUAAGUCAGCAAAAGUACAUCAAGGAGCUGCUAAAAAGGUUUGACAUGGAAACAUCAAAAGUUAUUGACACUCUCAUUGCCACAAUUACUCGUCUAGACAUGGAUGAACCUGGUUCUCCUGUAAAUCAGACCAGGUAUAGAGGGAUCAUAGGGUCACUCUUGUAUCUCACUGCAAGCAGACCAGAUAUUGUGUUCAGCGUGGGCCUUGUAAGGUUUCAAUCCAAUCCAAAGGAAUCUCAUCUAAAGUCUGCCAAGAGAAUAUUGAGAUAUCUCAAAGGAAUGCAGGACGUGGUUCUCUACUAUCCCUCAUGUGACAGAUUUGAUCUUAUUGGGUAUGCUGAUGCUGAUUAUGCAGGAUAUCUGGCGGACAGGAAAAACACGUCUAGAAUUGCACAUUUCCUGGGUUCUUGCCUAAUCCCAUAGGGUACAAGGAGGCAAAACUCGGUGGCACUCUAAACUGCAGAAGCGGAAUAUGUAGCAGCUGCCUCUUGUUGUGCUUAAUUGCUGUGGAUCAAACAGCAGUUGGAAGACUUUAACGUAUUCUCUAAUUGUGUGCCCCUAUUGUGUGACAAUACAAGUACACUCAACAUGGCCAAAAAUCCAGUCCAACAUAAGAGGACCAAGCACAUUGAAGUACGUCAUCAUUUCCUCAGAGACAAUGUUGAAAAAAGGCUUAUCUGUAUGAAGUUUUACAACACUGAAGAUCAGAUUGCAGACAUCUUCACCAAAGCUCUGAGCAGAGAAUAUUUUAAAAGAAAUCGCCUGGCACUGGGGUUGAUAAAACCCAACUAAGAACCUGGUUCCCAAUGAUUGGCUCUGAAAGAAAUGUACAGGUAAAAUUAUCUAAAAGUAUUUUUUGGAAAAGUCUAACUCAUUUCUAUACCAUUACAGGUAGACACGCAUGAUGAUUAUAGAGCAACUGAUGCAGUGUAUGCUGGUAAAAAGGGUUAAGCUCACACUUGCAAGACCUGUCAGGAGAAGUCAGGGAACCUGGUUCUCCUGACAUAGGUUAGUAGCUUCUUUGUUCUCAUACAUAAUUUUGAACGGAUAAAAACAAUGCCAUGUUAUCAGUGUGUCAGUUGCUUUCCUUUGCGUCUUUUGAAAUGAAAUGUUUCACAUGUUGAUGAGGGACCUGCCUCCCAAAAAACUACCGUCGUUUCAUAAUCCUCACAUCAAACUUCAAAAUUUUCACCUCUCCUUCUCUCUUCUCAAACCACUAAUCUCUCCAGUAAAGUCCACCAUGACUGAGAAUCAAGAAAACCCCAGUGUUCUCAGUGACACCUCCAUUGAGUCCACAUCAGUUGAAACUCCAAUAGUAGACUCCUCACUAAACACAACCACCAAUCUGAAAAACCCUAGGGUCGAGUCUCCCCCACACUCAGUCUCCUCACCUACCCGCUCAAGUUCUGGUUCUCAUUGGAGUCACAAAACCUCGACUCCGAAAAGGUUUGUGGCUACCAGCACUCCUCCAGUCUCGCCGUAAAAGCAAGGUGAAUAAGGUAACAUGGUCGAAGAGGGAAAUCAGGAAAUCUCUAAUCUCGCUAUGGAAGAGAACUCAAGUAAAGACCAAGCGGCUGGUCCUGACAAUGCUGAUACAACCAUGAUAGGUCUUGAGUCUAAAGAUAACACUCCUCCCUCUGCUGAGAUUUCCAUGGAACCACAAGAAAAAGAGGCAAUAGAAAACAUGCUUUCCAUAGUUGCUGAAGGGGCAUUUGUUGAGGAAGGUAUAGAGGGGUCUGAGCCUCAGGGGGAAGAGCCUUAGGCCAUAGUAGAUGGGAGAGAGCUUGUGCCAGUUGAAAACUCGGCACAGGAUGAUACUUCUUGGGUCCCUAAUGAUGGACCUGAUCCCUCCACAGAGGAUCCAGCUCAGGGGUCAUCUCCUCAGGUCAGUAUUGAUCCUGCGCCCUCUCCCUAUUUUUAUGCUUAGCCCCUAUCUAUGGUGAUGCCUCAGAUGCGGUCUGAUAGUGAAGAAGAUUUAGACGAUUUGGUGAUUGCUAGCUUUAUCAGGGCUACGAGUAAGCCAGUUGUAACUCCUGAGCCAACUCCUAAGCGACCCACUACAAGGUUGCAAAAGAAUGGGGAUCUUGAGUCUGCUCUUAAGAAAAGUCAACGGAGUCAAAGAAGGAAAAAGUUGGUGAAGGAUGGCAAAGUAGUACUUGAAAAGGUUGUUCCUGUUGUCAAUGUGGAUGAAGAAGUAGAAGAGGAACCUAGUUCCUUGACUCACAAGCCCUUAAAGCAGAAGCACUCUCUCUCCAAAUCCAAAAAGAACAUUUAUGUAAGUGUUGAGAGUCCAACCAAGAGUUCUGAUGCUGUUUUUAGUGAAAGGUUUGUGGAAAUAUCUGGUGAAAAGACAGUGAAAGAGAGCGGUGGAAAAUUUGAUGAUGAAUUCGUGGAAGAUUCUGGUGAGCAUGUGCCUGAAAAGUCAGUAGAGUAGGGAAAGUCUACUCGCAAGUCAGUGAAGAGAAAAAUGGAUGUUGAUGAGGAACCUGGUUCCUCCAAGAAAUCAAAGGUUGAAGAAUCCCAAAGUUUUGGGAAAGGAAAGUUGAGAAAUCAGAAGGUACUAUGGGGCUGCACUUUUGCCCCUGACAUUAUGGAGCUUGCCGGGAUGCUACAGUUAGUGGAAAUUUGUGAUUUUCAACAAUGGACUCAUUUGUUUAUAAAUGAUGUUCCAAAAGUGUAUGAGGAGGAAGUGUGGAGCUUCUAUGCCGACUUCUUCAAAGUCGAAGAUGAUCACAACUGUGUAUUGGUGAAUGGGGUUGACAUAGUGAUGGAUUUUGCCUUGUUGGGGUCAGUUCUGGGUGUUCCUGCUGAAGGGUUGUCAUCUGUUCAAGGCGCAUGCUCUUCCAAUUUAAGAAAUGCCAAAGUUAAGGACAAGGCAAUCAAGCAGGGGGAACGAGUGCAUAAGAAGGCCCUCCUUCCAGUAUAUCAGUUGCUCUUUGAGAUGGUUAACAAAGUGUUGCUUCCCCGUGCUGAGAGGAGAUCUAUUACGUCCAAAGCUGACCUGAUCCUUAUGGAAGCCUCGGAUGGCUUCACCACCAUCAAUAUGCCUGGGAUAAUGAUUGAGCAUAUGCAAAAAGUGACAGACUUUAAAGAUGGAAACCAUGGGCUACCUUAUGGGUUUCUUCUCACAAAGGUCUUCGAGUUCUUUAAGGUAUCUCUGGGACAGGCCAAAGUGGGCACUAAAAAGCAAACUUUGUCCAACACCACUUUUUAGGAGUGUGAGUGUAUUGACAAGGUCGGAGGAGUUGGAAGCACCUUUACUAUCUCUCAACUGAUACAUUCUCAGAAUAGUGCUACAGAGGAGAUUAGGAAGUUAAAUGCAAGGAACAUAAUUCUUAAGAGUUAGCACAAUCAGCUACAAGAGGCACCUGGUUCCGGUAGUUCUCACAGCUCAGAGGUUGCCCGCCUGACUAAGGAGAAUGCUGAGCUCAGGAAACAAGUGGAGGACCUGAUAGAAAGACUUCUCAAUGAGCACACGUCCACGAAUGCUCGCAUGGAUCUUGUCCUUAAAUCCCUUGUCCCUUCCUCUAAGCACUCUUCCUCCAGUGUCCCCUAAGUAGUGUCCCCUUCAGUGUCCAGUUUUUCAGGGUUCGUCUCUUAUGAAUGUUUCUGAUGAUGUCUUUGUUAUUGGUACUUGUUUUUGUUUUGUUUUUGAAUUGUGGAUGGUAACAUUGAAUCUGAUUCCAUUGUAAAAUCCAAACUGGUUUAUGCAAGCUUUUUCCUUUUUUGCCGUGUAUACAAUUAUUCUUUUGUCUCUGUUUUCUAUCAUGUUCUGUGCACACAAAUGGCAUGAGUUAACUACGCUGGACUUCUUUAUGCUUUUACUUGGUUUUAUUCUUUUUGUGAUGCCAAAAGGGGGAAGAAUUUAUGCAUAAUUGAAUAAUUGAAUAAUGAUGUGCACUAACUAAAGGGGAAUACAACCUUUCUGAUUCACUGUCUGGUUCUUUGCGGUUCUUCGUAGGAUUUUCAAUUAUAAGUUUAUCAUCAUAAAAAGGGGGAAAUUGAUAGGUUAUAAGUGCCCUUAUUUUAUGUUUUGAUGAUCUAACAAACUUAAUGUCAAGAACCAGAUAAGGAACCUGAUCCACAUCUGGUCCACAUUCUCAAGCGCAUGCAAAUAACCAGACUUAAGUUGGAGAUGUUCGUCAGAAUUUCAGAAGUUAAAGAAUCAACAAGGGGAACAUAUGGACUUCAGUUCCCCUGGUGAUUGUACCAAGUCAACUCUCUAACAGCUGGAAAGUGACUGACUGCACACGCAACAGUACAUCAAAGUGCAUCAGUCACCUCCAUUAGGAAGGACCUUGUACCCAAGUUGCUUACAUCAUUCAAGUGAUGUAAUCAAUGUUAUAUUAACAUUAAACCAAUGAAAAAACAUGACUUGAACAUUUAGAGAAUUUACUCAAGCAAUCCAAUAGUGAUUGAUCUUCCAGUUAACGAUUCUCAAGUGCAUCAAGAACAAAGAACAAUACUGCUACGGACAAGUUCCCCAUAUCAAGUGAUUGUAUGUCCUUAGUUGAGUUGUAACUUUGUUAAUGUUCUUACUUGUAAUUCCUACUUAGCUUAAUUAGAACCAUUGUGUAGGAAACUCUUGUAAAUCAUAAACCCUCGCAUUUGUGUCUUGGCUAGAGUUAGUCAAGUUGUAAAGUCUUUGUAAUAGAGGUAUUACAAAGUGUCUUGUAAUAGGUGUGUUACAAGUUAGUGAGGGAUUAAGAAGUUAAUUCCUUGGUUACAAUAGGUUAUACUCUAAAUGUUUUGCUCAGUAGUGAAGUUGAAAUCCUACAAGGGUAGGUCAUGGUUUUUGAUCCCGUUGAGCUGGGAAUUUUUCACAUAAAAACUCUCCGUGUUAUUUACUUUCUGCUGUGUUUGCAUAAUCUGUAGAAACUGAUAGAGAACCUGAUUCUCUAUAGUGUUUGGUGGACCCUAGAAUUCUAUCAGUUAGUUACAAAAGAUAACGAAGACACAUUGGCUCUUGCUUUAAUUAAUAUUUUUUCUUUUCUUUUAAGAGUGUAAAAUAAAAAUACUAGCUAAAUAUUUUAAAAUCAAGAACAUAUAAUUUUUUUGUGAUUUUUAAUUUUCUUAAAUAAAACCUAUGAAGAUGAAAUAAAGAUAAAAUAUCAAGAUUAAACUUAAAAGAUAUUUAAAUGCUAAAAAGUGAUGAAAAAAGUUACAUAUUGUCAAAAAUUAGGUUCUCACAGCAUGCCCCUCUUUGCGUGGAAACAUGAAGAUUUUUAGGCAAAGACAAGGUGAACCAUGUGACUAAUUUUUGACCAAACCAUUAUUCAAAGGGAAACGAAAUAAAAGAAAAGAGUGCAAGAGUGCAACCAAGUCCUGAUUUUGGACAACCUAGAUAUCUCGGGUUAUAAGGGAAUGAGGUCGCGCGUAGUUCAAGGAGAAUGAUGGAAUGAUGAGUUGGAGAGUCGAGUGAGGUUCUGUCGAGGCUCCGGUCCGUGGUCCCUGACAUUUACAUUAUAAAUUGAAAGAAAAAAUUACAGCAAAAUAAAAGAAAAAUACAAGAUCCUAUCUACUUCUUGUCUUGAAUCUUUCUCGAAUCUCCACUUGAUCCUUCAACAUGAAACUGAAAAUUCACCCUAUUCUUCAGGCUGGCAUCAUGCUGACUUGAAUUUGAAGAAAAACUGGAAAUUGACCAUGUUCUUCAGGCGGGCAUCCUGCUGCUUGCACUUGAAAUAAACUUGAACUUGGAAUAGACUUGAUCUUGCAAACCUUGUUCUUCAGGCGGCUCGUGCUACUUCUGAUUUGAAUUGAAAAGACUGGAGGUUAACCCUAUUCUUCAGUAGGGAUCCUGCUGUCUCUGACUUGAACUUGAAAACUGAAAGUUGACCCUGUUCUUCAGGCGGACUUCUAAUGCUUCUCUAACUUGAACUUGAAAACUUAAAGUUGACCCUGUUCUUCAGGCAGGCUCCUGGUGCCUCUGACUCGAACUUGAAGUGAAUUCUGAAAUGACUUCCCUCGUUCUCCAGGUGGGUGCCUUGUACUGACUUGAAACUUGAAGUGAAUUUUGAAAUGACUUUCCCUCGUUCUCCAUGUGGGCACCUGCUACUGACUUCAAACUUGAAAUAACUCUGAAAUGAAUUCCCUCGUUCUCCAGGUGGGCGCCUGCUACUGACUUGAAAAUUGAAAUAACUUUGAAAAGAAUUCCCUCAUUCUCCAGGUGGGCGCCUGCUACUGACUUGAAACUUGAAAUGAAUUCUGAAAUGAAUACCCUCGUUCUCUAGGUGGGCGCCUGCAACCAAAACAACAAAACGAACAAAAUUUUCUGCCCCAAUUUGCACUAGGAAGAUUUGUGAGUUGUUAGAGAACUAUAAAUCAGCUAUGCUAUUGAUGGAGGAUGCAAUGAUGAGAGUAAACUUAAAGACUCGACUAGGAUGUGCGUCUCCUGUGAGUAAAACCAAGAACAUUUUGACUAGCAAAUGCGUCUGCUAAAAAAAUCUGAAUGACCCAAACUAGGAAGUGUGUCUCCUAGGGAUGGACUCAAACGACCCAAACUAGGAAGUGCGUCUCCAAGGGGUGAAAUCUCAAUUUAGGAUGUGUGUCUCCUAAAAGUAUGACCUGAAAGACCCAGACUAGGAAGUGCGUCUCCUAGGGGUAAAACUUGAAUGACUCAAACUAGGAAGUGCGUCUCAUAGGGAUGAAAAUUGUAACCUAAAAUUAGGAAGUGCGUUUCCUAAAAAGUAUGACCUGAAAGACUCAGACUAGGAAGUGUGUCUCCUAGGGAUAAAACUUGAAUGACUCAAACUAGGAAGUGCGUCUCAUAGGGAUGAACUUAAACGACCAAAACUAGGAAGUGCGUCUCCUAAAAAGUAUAAUCUGAAAGUACCAGACUAGGAAGUGGGUCUCCUAGUGAUAAAACUUGAAUGACCCAGACUAGGAAGUGCGUCUCCGGGGGAUGAAACUUGUAACCUAAGAUUAGGAAGUAUGUUUCCUAAAAAGUAUGACCUGAAAGACUCAAACUAGGAAGUGCGUCUCCUAGGGAUAAAACUUGAAUGACCCAAACUAGGAAGUGCGUUUCCUAGGGAUGAAACCUUUAACACAAAAUUAGGAAGUGCAUCUCCUAAUAAGUGUGCCCUGAAAGAUUUAAACUAGGAAGUGUGCCUCCUGGAUAUGGGAUUGGGCUUGAGGAAAACCAUAAACUAAGCUUGACUAAAAUAAAAACUGACCCUAUUCUCCAGGCGGGACCCCUGAACUCAAGGAAAACUAACGAUUACCAAUCUAACGAAAUUGAAAAUGGCCCUAUUCUCCAGGCAGGACCCCUGAACUUUAAGAAAACUAAAAAAUUCCUAAAACUGACCCUAUUCUACAGGCGGAACUCCAAAACUUAAGAAAAGUCAAAGAUUCCUCUCAACUAGGGAUAUGCUAAGGAGGUAUGGUUCUUCUCAACUAGUUAACAUGCCUAAGAGGUAUGAUCUUCUCAAUGGACUUUGCGUUAGCAGAACUGAGGCAUUACACCUGAAAAAUUCAAGCUUCCAAGCUUUGAUAUGAACAUAGCCUUUAUCCAUGUUUUAGACAAAGAAAACUUGUGAGUUUUAAACAUGGUGGUUAGUUUGUGGCUUUGACUUCGAGGGCGAUUUCUCUUGCACUUGUCAUGAUCAACUUGGACUUCAACUUGGAAGACAGUGCUUGUUAUUGGCCAACCACUUUUCCGGACAACCCUUAUCACAAGAAAUAUUCCUGAUUCGUUCAAGUCCAAUACCUUAUACCCGAUGCAUUGCACUCGUAUUCUAACAUUCACCAAAUCUUUGCAUUUUACAUCAAUCCCAAAGAACAUCUAUUAUCACCAACUCAGUGCAUACACUAUCCUCCCAUGUCUUAUGCCAUUUUGAUGUACUUGCCAGACUCUGCUUUGUGUGAUUAAAAAGCUGGUAACAAAUUUUGAAGUCAUUUAUCACUUGUUUCGACAAAAAUAGACUCAAGAGGGACUUAAACAAAACAAGAGGAAUAAAGUAAGGAGAAGAACGAGAAGAGAUGGUAUCUAACAAGAAAAAAUUUUACCUAGGAAAAAGAACAAAGUAGAAACUAAUCUUAUUUGAAAGCCAGCUCCACUGGUCAUGACAUGCAUUUUGGAUUAAGCAGCCUGAUCUGUCAAGCGAGUCUAAUCUUCAACUCUUGUUAUACCUCUAAGCUGUGAGACUGGGCUUCAGUGAUCCAAUUGUCAUAUCUGAUCCACGACCCUCAGUCGACUUGUGGUGCCCUGGAGGGUUUUCACUAUCAAGCCUCUCUCAUUUUAUUCUUUUUCUCAACUCACGGUCACCUUAUGGUGCCCAUGAGGGUUUUCACCGAUAAGGCUUUCUCAUUUUAUCAUUUUAUCUCUUUGUGCUGAGAACAAGGUAUUACCCAUGAUACAAGAAGAUCAUACUUUUACCACACACUUGAUUUGGUAUCCCCAAAGAUUGGUCGGAAGGUCUUUCUUUGGACCGUAAUGUAGGCUUUUGGAUAUGGUUAAAAAGAAAGGAUGAUAUAAAGGUUCAAAACAACUAAAAUGGAAGGGGUUUUAACUUACAACUUUUGAAAUCAGAUCUAUUUACAAAACUAAAACUUCUGCCCCAGUUUCUUUGAGUCUGGGAAAUCUUGGUUUUUUAUUUUUAUGGGAUCGAACCUCAGAGUAAGGCUGCCUACGUAUCCUUAAAAGGAAUCAGGUCGAGCGUAGUUCCAAACUAAGAGUUGUUUUGUUUUUGUUGCUUCUUUUUUUCUCUUUUCUUUUUUUUUCUUUUUUAUUUUUCUUCUUUUUUUCUUUUUUUCUUUUUCUUUUCUAUUUUCUAACUCUACUUCUGAUUCCAAAAGAGGGGUAUAAAAGAAAAUAAAUAAGGCUCAAAAGGGGUAACAAAGGAUAAAAGUGUUUGGGGUAGCAGAAUAAAAUGCCUUCAUCAUUCCAAACUUUAAAAAUGCCAAGUACAAACAUAUAAUUUAAGAUAAGCAAAGAAAUCAUGCAUAGUAUCUAUUGAUGGCAUCAACACAAACAAAAAGUGCCAAUGGGCAAUACCUUCGUCCCAAUGAAUGACUCUUGCCAGUUCGAAGCAGACUUAACUCAACCUUAUCUUGAUGUGGAAGAAUGAAUUUCAACACUGACUAAUCUACCUCAAACUGCUUGAGAGACAUUUCCUUGUUGUAUGCUUUUAUCAACCUCUUGAUUUCCCAGACUAACUGCCUCAGUUUCACUCAAUUCAAGCUUCAUGUUAUCUUAGAAUGCGUGAACCUUUACUUAUUUCCUCAAAUGCAUCUUUUUAUCAUAUUCAAAAUUAUGUUUCAUUAUUCCAUGAUUAGACUGGCUUUCAAGAUCUGGCUAAAAACUCCGCAUGCAUGUCAUGUCAUUAGAACUAGCGAGAAAAGAACUAAGCACAGAAUGACACAAAAAGACAAACUAUAUUUCAUUGAGUAAAUGAUGGAAGGGUUUAACAACAAGACAAAUAACCUAAAAUCUGAAUAACCCGGAUAAUGAAAAUAACAACAGAGCAGACAGAUUAGACUCACACAAAUAGAGGGAUAGAAGGGUUUGACUCAAUAAAACAAAUAAACUCUGGAUCACAACCCUGAAAUAACCCAGAUAAUAGAAAAAACAUCAAAGAAGCUACCAAGAUUCCUUCCCAGUGAGGAGAGAAUGACCUUUCCAUUGCUAAGCUUGACACUUAGCCACAAAUUUGCUCAUCAGAAUCACCAGGGCCUUCUCCAAUUUCAACAUCAUUAACUUUAGUCAACAAGUUCCCGAGAGGAUUUUCAUACUCCCUAUCACCAUGCAUCAUUCCCACAAAGUGUGCAUCAUCAUGUGCAGGUAAAGGAUUCUGCACGAUAUUCUGGGUGUCACUGUCCUGGAUCNNNNNNNNNNNNNNNNNNNNNNNNNNNNNNNNNNNNNNNNNNNNNNNNNNNNNNNNNNNNNNNNNNNNNNNNNNNNNNNNNNNNNNNNNNNNNNNNNNNNNNNNNNNNNNNNNNNNNNNNNNNNNNNNNNNNNNNNNNNNNNNNNNNNNNNNNNNNNNNNNNNNNNNNNNNNNNNNNNNNNNNNNNNNNNNNNNNNNNNNNNNNNNNNNNNNNNNNNNNNNNNNNNNNNNNNNNNNNNNNNNNNNNNNNNNNNNNNNNNNNNNNNNNNNNNNNNNNNNNNNNNNNNNNNNNNNNNNNNNNNNNNNNNNNNNNNNNNNNNNNNNNNNNNNNNNNNNNNNNNNNNNNNNNNNNNNNNNNNNNNNNNNNNNNNNNNNNNNNNNNNNNNNNNNNNNNNNNNNNUUGGCGUGAAACUCUCUCUUUGUCUUUGUUCCCAUCCAUGCCCCUAUUUUCUAGGGUUAUUGGGUGCUCAUAAAUGUUGUGAAGGCGAACGAGUAUUUUGUGGUGCUAGUGCUCGCCAUAAGGAGUGACCCAGUGGUUGAACAAAUGACUGGACAUUAUACGGAGGAUAAUACUGGAUAGGAUUAUGUGGAGCUCGGGGAUAGGUUUGAGGUUGUGGUUGGGGUUGAGGCUGAGUAUAUUGGUGAGGCGAACCCUUUGAGCCAUGUCGUAAUCCUGAGACAACCAUGGCAACAUCAUCCUUUUUCUUCUGACCCAUCAAGCUUAUUAUAUAAUUCUGAAUUGCUUGUGUUGUGGCUUUUAAGGCAGAAUAGCUCAUGAUCUUGCUCGACUUCCAACCAUCUUCUACCAUUCCUCCCAUUUUUACCACAUCAUGAAAAGGCUUACCCACGACCGAGAUCAAAUGCCCAAAGUAAGUAGGCUCUUGAGCUUGAAGAAAGUACUCAACUAUCUCGUCUUCUUCUAUCGGCGGAUUGACCCGGGCAGCUUGUUCUCUCCAUCUAAACUCGUAUUCCCUAAAUAUUUCAUUAGGCUUCUUUUCUAUCUUGGUCAGGGAUAGGCGAUCCGGGACAAUGUCUAUAUUAUACUGAAAAUGUCGGGUAAAGGCCUUAGCCAUAUUGUCUUGACCCAUAUAUACCACCUAUUAGCAUCUUGGCGGGUGUACCAUUCCAAGGCUACCCCACUCAAACUCUGACUGAAAUAGGCCAUCAACAACUCAUCCUUCCCACCAGGGCCUCUCAUCUUACUGCAAUAACCUCUCAAAUAGGCCAUGAGAUCUCCAUGUCCGUCAUACAAAUCAAACUUUGGCAUUUUGAACCCGACGGGCAGUUGGACGUCAGGGAACAAGCACAAGUCCUUGUAAGCCACACUUACUUGGUUUCCUAUCCCUUGCAUAUUCCUCAAAGAUUGCUCUAAGCUCUUCACAUUCAUGAAUAUCUCAUCUUGCUCCACGUUCUUAGAUGAUUUCUCGAUUUCAACAGGAGGCUCAAAGUGAGGGGGGUAACAAUAAGGAUCUGGGACCUUGAAGGUUGGUUCUGGAGCAUAGUAUUGGGUAUCUGGAACUUUGAACGCGAGUUCGCUAGAAGAUCGAUGGAUGGUAGCUUGUGGAGGGGCUAUAAAGACAGGAGUGAAUGUUGGAGCAGGGUAUGAGGUUGUUUUGGCUGGUGGAGCAUGGAAAGGUUGGGACGAGGGGUAAAGCCUGGUGCAUGUUGAUGGGAACAAUCACCGAUAGUGGAAACCUGAGCUUGUGACAGUGGUGGGAUAGAGGCAGGGUUUUCAGUGUAGUUAGCGGGAAAUGAGGGUGGAGGAUGCCCCCCGAUCCAAGCCUGAUACUGUUUCAACCUUUGGACCUCCUCUUUCAAUUCAGAUUCCGACUCCACAAUCUCUCUCGAGGGGUCAACAACUCAUGUGUCCAAUUCUUUGCUAGUCAUGACUGCCUUGUGCUUUGACAUGGUGUUGUAUGGAUGAAUCGCCAGAAAACCAACAAACUAACCACCUGAACUGAACCUGGCUAUUUGCACACCCAACUACCUUAUUAGUUUUAAGACGCUUAACAGAUAGGAAAUCGCACGUUGGGAUGCAAUGCACCUAAACAGUUAAACGCUCCUACCAUGUGUUUGAACGAUUGCAUAUGUCAUCCCGGCCUUAACUAAUCCCUUUUCACUUUGUACCUAUUUUCUUUCAUUUCUGCCUCCCUUUAAUCACUCUUGAUUUUCUCAUUUUAUUUUUGUCGCUCUUUUAUUUUUGGCACUCUCUUUUCCUCUUUUUGUUUUUGUCACUCUUUUCUUUCUUUUUCACUCAAUUUUUCUUUUCUCCUUUUUUUUAAUUUUCACUCAAUUAAUUUUAUGGCUAUGAUCGAAUCCUA